rnacentral:misc_RNA from 1 species
GGAGAUAUAAUUCAUUACUAAUUGAGUGACAUAGCAUAUAAUGUUAGAUAUCAAUUAUGACUUAUGACAAUUCGGAAGAAAUGGGGAUUUCAUUCUAAUUAUGGAAUGGCUCGAAUCUCAUUGUCAAUUAGUCAUAAAUCUAGCAAGUCAUAUACAUAUAAAAGCAUAUUGACCAAGACAUAAUUAGUUUGAUUAAUUGACUAAAGAGUUUAGUUAAUUAAUUGAAUUAACAAAUUUAGU